GGCAAUGGGGGCAACCCUGACCGAGCAACGCCGCGUGAGUGAAGAAGGUUUUCGGAUCGUAAAGCUCUGUUGUAAGUCAAGAACGAGUGUGAGAGUGGAAAGUUCACACUGUGACGGUAGCUUACCAGAAAGGGACGGCUAACUACGUGCCAGCAG
rnacentral:rRNA from 1 species